AGUGAACGCUGGCGGUAGGCCUAACACAUGCCAGUCGAACGGCAGCACAGUAAGAGCUUGCUCUUACGGGUGGCGAGUGGCGGACGGGUGAGGAAUACAUCGGAAUCUACUUUUUCGUGGGGGAUAACGUAGGGAAACUUACGCUAAUACCGCAUACGACCUACGGGUGAAAGCAGGGGAUCUUCGGACCUUGCGCGAUUGAAUGAGCCGAUGUCGGAUUAGCUAGUUGGCGGGGUAAAGGCCCACCAAGGCGACGAUCCGUAGCUGGUCUGAGAGGAUGAUCAGCCACACUGGAACUGAGACACGGUCCAGACUCCUACGGGAGGCAGCAGUGGGGAAUAUUGGACAAUGGGCGCAAGCCUGAUCCAGCCAUACCGCGUGGGUGAAGAAGGCCUUCGGGUUGUAAAGCCCUUUUGUUGGGAAAGAAAAGCAGCAGGUUAAUACCCCGCUGUUCUGACGUUACCCAAAGAAUAAGCACCGGCUAACUUCGUG
rnacentral:rRNA from 1 species